CCUCCAUUGGCACCCUUGCCUGUACCCACUCCUGAUCCUCGUACCCAGGAAAUGAUUAAUGAGAAGCUGAAGAAGGCAGAGGAUCUUGGUGAGCAAGGAAUGGUAGAUGAGGCUCAAAAGGCUUUGGAAGAGGCCGAGGCACUUAAGAAGCUUCCUGCCAGGCAAGAGCCUACGUUGGAUUCCUCCAAGUAUACUGCUGCUGAUGUCCGCAUUACUGAUCAGAAGUUGCGUGUUUGUGACAUUUGUGGAGCCUUUUUGAGUGUAUAUGACAGCGAUCGACGUUUAGCAGACCAUUUUGGAGGGAAGCUUCAUCUAGGCUAUAUGCAAAUCCGUGAGAA
rnacentral:misc_RNA from 1 species